rnacentral:rRNA from 1 species
GGCGGACGGGUGAGUAAUGCGUAGGAAUUUACCUCAAAGCGGGGGAUAGCCCGGAGAAAUCCGGAUUAAUACCGCAUGUGCUCUACGGAGGAAAGCGGGCCUCUACUUGUAAGCUCGCACUUUGAGAUAAGCCUACGUCGGAUUAGCUUGUUGGUGGGGUAAAAGCCUACCAAGGCGACGAUCCGUAGCUGGUUUGAGAGAAUGAUCAGCCACACUGGGACUGAGACACGGCCCAG